CAACGCGAAGAACCUUACCAGGCCUUGACAUGCAGAGAACUUUCCAGAGAUGGAUUGGUGCCUUCGGGAACUCUGACACAGGUGCUGCAUGGCUGUCGUCAGCUCGUGUCGUGAGAUGUUGGGUUAAGUCCCGUAACGAGCGCAACCCUUGUCCUUAGUUACCAGCACGUUAUGGUGGGCACUCUAAGGAGACUGCCGGUGACAAACCGGAGGAAGGUGGGGAUGGCGUCAAGUCAUCAUGGCCCUUACGGCCUGGGCUACACACGUGCUACAAUGGUCGGUACAAAGGGUUGCCAAGCCGCGAGGUGGAGCUAAUCCCAUAAAACCGAUCGUAGUCCGGAUCGCAGUCUGCAACUCGACUGCGUGAAGUCGGAAUCGCUAGUAAUCGUGAAUCAGAAUGUCACGGUGAAUACGUUCCCGGGCCUU
rnacentral:rRNA from 1 species